rnacentral:tRNA from 1 species
CGGAGUAUAGCGUAGCCAGGAAGCGCGCCUGCUUUGGGAGCAGGGUGUCGGGGGUUCAAAUCCCUCUACUCCGA